rnacentral:rRNA from 1 species
UUGAACGCUGGCGGCAGGCCUAACACAUGCAAGUCGAGCGCGAAAGUUCUUCGGAAUGAGUAAAGCGGCGGACGGGUGAGUAACGCGUGGGAAUCUGCCUAGUAGUGGGGGACAACAGCCGGAAACGGCUGCUAAUACCGCAUACGCCCUACGGGGGAAAGGGGGGGAUCUUCGGACCUCUCGCUAUUAGAUGAGCCCGCGUCGGAUUAGCUAGUUGGUAGGGUAAAGGCCUACCAAGGCUACGAUCCGUAACUGGUCUGAGAGGGUGAUCAGUCACACUGGAACUGGGACACGGUCCAGACUCCUACGGGAGGCAGCAGUGGGGAAUAUUGGACAAUGGGGGCAACCCUGAUCCAGCCAUGCCGCGUGUGUGAAGAAGGCCUAGGGUUGUAAAGCACUUUCAGUGGGGAGAAAGGUUUGUCACCUAAUACGUGAUGAAAUUGAUGUUACCCACAGAAGAAGCACCGGCUAACUCCGUGCCAGCAGCCGCCGUAA